rnacentral:rRNA from 1 species
GACGUAGGGUGCAAGCGUUGUCCGGAUUUAUUGGGCGUAAAGAGCUCGUAGGCGGCUUGUCGCGUCGACUGUGAAAUCCCGCGGCUCAACCGCGGGUCUGCAGUCGAUACGGGCAGGCUAGAGUUCGGUAGGGGAGACUGGAAUUCCUGGUGUAGCGGUGAAAUGCGCAGAUAUCAGGAGGAACACCGAGUGCGAAGGCAGGUCUCUGGGCCGAUACUGACGCUGAGGAGCGAAAGCGUGGGGAGCGAACAGG